AAUACCGCGGCCCUUUAAAAUUUUUCAGUGGGCAGAUUAGACUUUAAAUUAUAUUCAAAAAGACAUGUUUUUGUUAAACAGGCGAGCAUUUAUUUGCCAAGUUCCUUAAUUUAACCUAUCAAUUUAAUUUAUUUAAAACAAUUAAAUAUACUAAUUUUAUCAUUAUUUUAAUUUUUAUCUAAUUCUAAAAAUUAUUUUAAUAAAAACUUAAAUUAAUAAAAAUUAUUUUUUAACUUAAAAUAAAUUAUAACAUUUUCAUAAUUAAUGGCUAUUUCUAAGCCUAUAAUCUUUAAAUUAAAAAAUUAUUAUAAAAUUUAUUUUAAAGCUUAUCCCUUAAAAUAUUAAUUAAUAAUAAUAAUUUAUUAUUCAAAUAACUAAUUAUUUAUUAAUAAUCUAAAUUUAAUUUAUUUCUUAAAAAACUAGAUAUAUUUAAGAACGAAUAACAUUUCAUUUCUAAUUAAUUAUUUUAAAUUUUUAUGAUACAAAAAAUUAAAUAAUAAAUUAACUCUCUUAAAUUCGAGAAAAAUUAAAUUUUUAACUUUUAAUUAAUAAACCCUGAUACACAAGGUACAAUAUAUAAAAUUUACUUUUAAUUUAAAACUUUUUCAAAUAUUUCAAUAUUCUUUUACAAUACUAAUUAACUAUUAUACAAAUUAUUUAAUCUAUAUACUAUACAAAAAAAAAAUCAAAUUAAAAUUAAUUUUAUUAAAUUUAAAUUUAUAAUAAACAAAAAAUUAAUAAAUUUUUAUUAUCAAAUUAAAUUGAAUUACACAAUAUACUUUUCAAUGUAAAUGAAAUGCUUUAUUUUUCAAGCUCUAAUUCGUCUUUCUAGAUACACCUUC
rnacentral:rRNA from 1 species